CCUGUUUCUUUAAAACAACCUGUUUACAACAGCCCUUCUGCCGAAGAGACAUAUUUCAGGGUGACAGACUCUGUUCCCCAGGAAUGUGCGUGUCCAGGGUUCCCCAACUGACCAGGGACUGACCCCACACCCCAGGCAUGUGCUCCGACCAGGAACGGAACCGGUGACCCCUCACCCUGCAGGACCAGGCCCAGCCACUGAGCCACACCGGCAAAGGCCCAGGGAACGUUUUAAAUCCCGGUGCCCAGGCCACAUUCCAGAGCCAAGGGGAAGAAGUGAUCGGUGACAGCAGCUUUCAAAUGUCCCCAAGGGCAGCCAGGCUUGGGAACCACUAAGUCAGGGGUCGUCUGUGCCAAGGACACCAGGAGAAGCAGAGAAGGCAGAAGCAUCAGGGCUGAUGAACAGUCCUGGAAACCUCGUAGACGUCAUGGGCUGUGUCUUUUAAAAGAGCACCCUCAGCCUCCUGCCCUGAGAUAAACGGGUCCAGGAUGAGGAAAGCAGCAUUUCUGCCCUGAAACUGGAACUCUGUCUCAAAUGACCCUGCUGGGAACAGGCACCGGACUCGCACUCGAGUCAUUGCCUAAGGAAUCGAACGUUGACACCACACCACCCAGAAGGCAGGCUUGCUGUGGGGGGUCGUGGACGCCUUUACUCAAACCCAGGGGUCAUCAACAUGGCGCACCAUCUACGCCAAGGGCAUUUCCGGGCUGUGGGCAGACCCUUCACUCAAAUAAAA